GGAGCCUCAACAGCAGGUGGGGGCACUCAGCCCAUGCUUUUAGGGAAAAGCCCACCUGCUGGGGGUGCUGCUGCGAGGUCACAGCUCACCAGCAUGCUCUCCUUGCACUGAGAGAAAGCAAGGCUCGAUUUCCCCUAAAAGUACUUAAUUGUAAUUAAAUGCUUCGGGUUUGAUAGGUGAUUGCUCAGCUCAGCUCAACUGCCCAGCAAGGGGCGUCACUCGGUGCACCUGAGCCGGAAACCAGCGCAAUGCAGCCCAGAUGCUAAGGCUGCACAAUUACAGCACCGCUUCUGAAGGGAUCAGCAGAAAAACUUGCUUUGGGAAGACUUCUGUGAGCCGGAGCGAUGCCAGGAGAGCGCGGGAGCACAGAGCUGCCCACAGCAGCACCCAGCACUGCCUCAGCCCCCACCCACCCCGACGUGGGAGCCUCGUUGGGGACACUGCCAUGCACCCAUGUCCCCUCCUCGCUCCAUCACCCCACAGCCAACACGUGUGCAAACAGCAAGCGGCGCCCCCGGCUCCAGGGGUCCCCCUGCAAAAGGACCACCAGCAGCACCUGGCUGUGUGCGCGCAGAGGGCACAGCAGGACUGACAGACACGGCACAGCGGGACCGAUGGACACAACACAGUGCAACUGAUGGGCAUGGCACAGCAGGACCGACGGACGGAGCAGAGCAGGACCGAUGGACACAGCACCAGCGAGAGGUGAGGUGAGCGCCGGCAUUCUGCGGG